rnacentral:rRNA from 1 species
UAGGGGAAUCUUCCACAAUGGGCGGAAAGCCUGAUGGAGCAACGCCGCGUGUGUGAUGAAGGGUUUCGGCUCGUAAAACACUGUUGUAAGAGAAGAAUGACAUUGAGAGUAACUGUUCAAUGUGUGACGGUAUCUUACCAGAAAGGAACGGCUAAAUACGUGCCAA